rnacentral:rRNA from 1 species
GAUGAACGCUGGCGGCGUGCCUAAUACAUGCAAGUCGAGCGAACGGACGAGAAGCUUGCUUCUCUGAUGUUAGCGGCGGACGGGUGAGUAACACGUGGAUAACCUACCUAUAAGACUGGGAUAACUUCGGGAAACCGGAGCUAAUACCGGAUAAUAUUUUGAACCGCAUGGUUCAAAAGCGAAAGACGGUCUUGCUGUCACUUAUAGAUGGAUCCGCGCUGCAUUAGCUAGUUGGUAAAGUAACGGCUUACCAAGGCAACGAUGCAUAGCCGUCCUGAGAGGGUGAUCGGCCACACUGGAACUGAGACACGGUCCAGACUCCUACGGGAGGCAGCAGUAGGGAAUCUUCCGCAAUGGGCGAAAGCCUGACGGAGCAACGCCGCGUGAGUGAUGAAGGUCUUCGGAUCGUAAAACUCUGUUAUUAGGGAAGAACAUAUGUGUAAGUAACUGUGCACAUCUUGACGGUACCUAAUCAGAAAGCCACGGCUAACUACGUG